UACGGAGGGUGCAAGCGUUAUCCGGAUUUACUGGGUUUAAAGGGUGUGUAGGCGGGUAUUUAAGUCAGUGGUGAAAUCUCCGAGCUCAACUUGGAAACUGCCAUUGAUACUAUUUAUCUUGAAUUUUGUUGAGGUAGGCGGAAUAUGUCAUGUAGCGGUGAAAUGCAUAGAUAUGACAUAGAACUCCGAUUGCGAAGGCAGCUUACUAAACAAAUAUUGACGCUGAGGCACGAAAGCGUGGGGAUCAAACAGG
rnacentral:rRNA from 1 species